AACGAACGCUGGCGGCAGGCCUAACACAUGCAAGUCGAGCGAAGCCUUCGGGCUUAGCGGCGGACGGGUGAGUAACGCGUGGGAACGUGCCCUUUGGUACGGAAUAGCCCCGGGAAACUGGGAGUAAUACCGUAUGUGGUCGAGAGACGAAAGAUUUAUCGCCAAAGGAUCGGCCCGCGUUGGAUUAGGUAGUUGGUGGGGUAAUGGCCUACCAAGCCGACGAUCCAUAGCUGGUUUGAGAGGAUGAUCAGCCACACUGGGACUGAGACACGGCCCAGACUCCUACGGGAGGCAGCAGUGGGGAAUCUUGGACAAUGGGGGAACCCCUGAUCUAGCCAUGCCGCGUGAUCGAUGAAGGCCUUAGGGUUGUAAAGAUCUUUCAGUGGGGAAGAUAAUGACUGUACCCACAGAAGAAGCCCCGGCUAACUCCGUGCCAGCCGCCGCCUAAUAC
rnacentral:rRNA from 1 species